GAAAUGCGAUAAGUAAUGUGAAUUGCAGAAUUCAGUGAAUCAUCGAAUCUUUGAACGCACAUUGCGCCCGCCAGUAUUCUGGCGGGCAUGCCUGUCCGAGCGUCAUUUCAACCAUCAAGCCCCCGGGCUUGUGUUGGGGACCUGCGGCUGCCCGCAGGCCCUGAAAACCAGUGGCGGGCUCGCUGUCACACCGAGCGUAGUAGCAAUCACCUCGCUCAGGGCGUGCUGCGGGUUCCGGCCGUUAAACAGCCUUACAAAACCCAAGGUUGACCUCGGAUCAGGUAGGAUCACCCGCUGAACUUAAGC
rnacentral:misc_RNA from 1 species